rnacentral:rRNA from 1 species
AACGAACGCUGGCGGCAUGCCUAACACAUGCAAGUCGAACGAGAAACCAGAGCUUGCUCUGGCGGACAGUGGCGGACGGGUGAGUAACGCGUGGGGACCUGCCUUUGGGUACGGGACAACUCAUGGAAACGUGAGCUAAUACCGUAUACGUUCUUUCAUUUUAGAGAUGAGAGAAGAAAGAUUUAUUGCCCUUAGAUGGACCCGCGUUAGAUUAGCUAGUUGGUGAGGUAAUGGCUCACCAAGGCGACGAUCUAUAGCUGGUUUGAGAGGAUGAUCAGCCACACUGGGACUGAGACACGGCCCAG